AGCAACGUCAGCCUGGGGAGAGGGGUAGAGACUCAGGCCCUCCCCCAGCAGAGGGAAUGGAGUUUAGGCUUGCUGGGGAGUGGACUUCAGGACAGAGGAGAGCCUGAGUCAUCCUAGGAAAAGCUGAUUCCCCAUCCAGGUUGGAGCUGUGCAAUCAGGGACACAGGUUCGGUGUUUUGGGUGCCAAAACGGGAUGAAACACCUCCGAAACUAAACAGCUGCCAAAAUUUCUCACAGCCCUACUAUAGAGAGAUACAGCCCACUGUGAAACACACAGUAAAGAGGAAAGUUCUUACUGUGCUACAUCCUUGCAUGUUAGGUCCUAGUAUUGGCCUGAGAUCUUGCAGUGGCCAGAGGAAACUCUGCAAGGACACAUUGAAAACAUACCUCAAGAAAAUGGAUGCCGAAGUCAAGGCUGUGGAGAACCUGGAUCCUAACCAACUCCAAUGGCAACCAAGCAGCUGCCCAUUUCACGGUAAAGCAAUUUGCUCUUGAAGCAGAGAAGAGAAAGUAAGGAGAGAAAAAGAAAGAAAUCCUGUCUUAUGGCCUACCCUCCCCUGCAGAAAUUCCUGCAACUUCUGUGGACAGGUCUGUGACUGAAGGAUUGGACUCUUAAGUCACCUCAAAACCCAUCAGAGCUGUGGUAAACAUCAUCCUUGAACUGAGGAAUUCCAGAUGUGCAUGUUAACAUUAGACUUCAAGUCAGCUGGACAGUUAUCACUGCACGCUUCUCAGAGGCACAGGUACUGACUGCCUCAUUGUGAGUGGAUCCAGAUCCUACCACAAAGAAGACCUUUAUAUGACAUUAAAUAAGAAUAAUUCCACCAAAUACAACAUAAAGACUUUUCCCUAGUUUUCUGAACGCAUUUGAUUUUAAAACAAGAGCUGUUACAGAGUUUGGGUCCACUCAUUCUCAGGUUUACAGUUUAUUUAAUUCUGGACAUAACAGUGAAAAAAGAAAAACGGUGUAAUGAUAAUUAAAUUGUAGGGGAUCUAUCACAUUAUGGGACUGUCUUCUGAUAGCUCUUUAAUUAUGUCAGCAGGAUUUUCUAUGUAAAAGCAUGACAGCUUUUUGUACACUUCACCCAUGCUCUUGAUUGCCCUCAAGCAAAAACUGCACCAUAUAUAAGAGCUCAUGCUGGGGUGUCAUAAGCAGGGAUCCUGGCUUUCUAUUUAAAAAAAAUAAAUAAAAAAUUCUCUGAUUAAAAAUCCACAUUUUUCCAUGAUUACAAUGAAAUGCCACUCUAUAUUUAAAUACAUAGGUAUGGAUAUGUUUGUAUAUGUAUCAGUUGAACACAAUGAUUCAUGGAUCGUGGCAACUGUCAAUCCUCCUGGAUCAUGGUGUAUGCUUGAAGACCAUCCAGACCUUUGAUGCAUAU